CGGUAAUACGGAGGAUCCAAGCGUUAUCCGGAAUCAUUGGGUUUAAAGGGUCCGUAGGCGGUUUAGUAAGUCAGUGGUGAAAGCCCAUCGCUCAGCGGUGGAACGGCCAUUGAUACUGCUAAACUUGAAUUAUUAGGAAGUAACUAGAAUAUGUAGUGUAGCGGUGAAAUGCUUAGAGAUUACAUGGAAUACCAAUUGCGAAGGCAGGUUACUACUAAUGGAUUGACGCUGAUGGACGAAAGCGUGGGUAGCGAACAGGAUUAGAUACCCUGGUAGUCCACGCCGUAAACGAUGGAUACUAGCUGUUGGAAGCAAUUUCAGUGGCUAAGCGAAAGUGAUAAGUAUCCACACUGGGGAGUACGUUCGCAAGAAUGAA
rnacentral:rRNA from 1 species